UUAUUAAAUAGAGUUUUAUAUAAAAAGGAAAAAGAAAAAACCCUUGAAGGCACAAGAAAGCAAACUUAGGGCCCGAGACUCGAAAAGAGCUCGUAAAACAAAAACAUCAACGCAUAGGACAGCUUAAGUCAAAAGACAACACUUGGCAACAAAAUCAAUAAGGAAAAUCCUUGUUGGAAUGAAAGUCGUCCAACUCCAUUUCAUCCGACCAACGGCCGUGCGCGAUAUUGUUCAUAGCACGCAUAGCACUAUUGCUGCUAUGAUCAACCACAAAGUCCUUCGGCUUAUAUCCCAGUUCCUCCGCAUUUCUUAGACGACCUUUUAUGUAAUCUACCGGAUUCGGAUUCAGUGGCACGCGCGAACGUUCCAUACCCUUUUUAGGACGACCCGGUCCACGCUUAGGUGGAACUUGCUCAACGAGCAAUUCCAUCCCUUGACUAACCUGCGCCUCGAGCCUGCUAA
rnacentral:lncRNA from 1 species